ACCAAGGAGGAGAAUGCCUUUUCAGUUAAUUUUUGAUAUAUCUAGAAGAAAAUAGGAUUUUCUCUUAUUGGAAUCGACUUUGUUAGAUAUAGUUCGAUCUAUGAUGGAGUUUAUAAGUCUGCCAGUCUUCUAUUAGGGUUAUACUCUUAAGACUACUUGUCAUGUUCUGAAUUGGAUUACAAACUAAUCAGUCGCAAUGACUCCAUAUGAGAUG
rnacentral:lncRNA from 1 species